AGAGUUUGAUCAGGGCUCAGGACGAACGCUGGCGGCGUGCUUAACACAUGCAAGUCGAGCGGUAAGGCUCCUUCGGGAGUACACGAGCGGCGAACGGGUGAGUAACACGUGAGCAAUCUGCCCUUCUCAUCGGAAUAACCAUUGGAAACGAUGGCUAAUGCCGAAUAUGACCUCGGAUCACAUGUUCUGAGGUGGAAAGCUCCGGCGGAGAAGGAUGAGCUCGCGGCCUAUCAGCUUGUUGGUGAGGUAAUGGCUCACCAAGGCAUUGACGGGUAGCCGGCCUGAGAGGGUGACCGGCCACACUGGGACUGAGACACGGCCCAGACUCCUACGGGAGGCAGCAGUGGGGAAUAUUGGACAAUGGGCGAAAGCCUGAUCCAGCAACGCCGCGUGAGGGAUGACGGCCUUCGGGUUGUAAACCUCUUUCAGCAGGGACGAAGCGAAAGUGACGGUACCUGCAGAAGAAGGACCGGCCAACUACGUGCCAGCAGCCGCGGUAAUACGUAGGGUCCGAGCGUUGUCCGGAAUUAUUGGGCGUAAAGGGCUCGUAGGCGGUUUGUCACGUCGGGAGUGAAAACUCAGGGCUCAACCCUGAGCGUGCUUCCGAUACGGGCAGACUAGAGGUAUGCAGGGGAGAACGGAAUUCCUGGUGUAGCGGUGGAAUGCGCAGAUAUCAGGAGGAACACCGGUGGCGAAGGCGGUUCUCUGGGCAUUACCUGACGCUGAGGAGCGAAAGCAUGGGGAGCGAACAGGAUUAGAUACCCUGGUAGUCCAUGCCGUAAACGUUGGGCGCUAGGUGUGGGGACCUUCCACGGUCUCCGUGCCGCAGCUAACGCAUUAAGCGCCCCGCCUGGGGAGUACGGCCGCAAGGCUAAAACUCAAAGUG
rnacentral:rRNA from 1 species